GGAUACUGCCACAGCUGAACUUUUUCAUGUGGAAUAAUCUACUGUAUGGUUGGAUAUGAAGAUAUUUUGCUGGAUUGGAUACAGUUUGCUCAGGAAAGGUUUUGGGAGGAAAGCUGGAAUGGAUGCUACAAUUGGAAUGAAGCACACUUGAUUAUUCCAGGAGAGGAGCAUUCACAUUUUCACAAUAGACAAGGAUUAUGUUCUGGAUACUUUCUGCAUCCACGGACCGCAAGGUUUUCUUGAGUAGGGUUGCAGCUGUAUCGUUGGAGAUUUGCAUGCAGGAGUCUGAGGAGUAAUCUGUCAUGGAAUAGAUGAGGCACAGAGACCCUAUCAGGAUCUUGGAAAUCUAGCAUUUCAAGCUGCACAGUUGAUGACAGCAUCAAAUAAGUCUGAAGAAGCCACCUUGUGAAGCGUGCUGGUCCUUCUGAGCCAGAACCUAUUUGGUAGCAAGGCAACCACUGGGAAAUGUUGGUGCAUCCAUUGUGAGGAAGGAUGGUGACCCAUCUGGGAAUGACAAAAGCAAAGUGCUUGAUAAAUCCCAGCUCUGCUUUCAACAGUUGGGAAACUGUAGGGGAGAAAGUCUGAAAGAAAACAAAAAUGACAAGAGGAGCUUAGUCAGGAAGACCAAGAAUUCAUCAAGGGCCAUCUCUGGUUAAAGAAACAAGACCACAGAAGAGACAUUUGAACUUUUGGUCAAGUUCUUGUAGGACUACAAGCAACUUGCAGUUAGCAUAAACAGAAUCUGGUCUCUUUCCAUGUUGGCUUGUCUUCUUCAGGUGGCUUCCGUGGGUUUUGCUGAAGAAGAGUUGUAUAACUCAAGUGGAGGGUGUCAGCUAAAUUUAGUGAAUCAGAUGUGUUUGAAAAUAUGUAAACACUGCUAACACUUGGUGUAGCUAUUUUGCUCAGGUCUGAAAUCCUCUACCAGCUGAGGAAUUGAUGAUAGUAGGUUGAAUAAAUACCUUGUGCUUCUUUCAUAAUAAUAGCAGUAAUAAUUCAGAAAGUGCUAAUUUCAGUAGCAUUGCCACUUCAGCUGUUGCAAAACCUGAGAGCUGCUGGUAUUUGUGGUCCUCUCCCUACUCCUAUUAUGCAGGGUUGGACAGAGACUAAACAUGUGAAGUAGUACUUGGAGAUACAGCCGCGGUCAAUCCACUUUGCUUGUCUUUCAGCCCUGUUACACCACCCUUCCAUGCAUGCAUUCUGUCAGUAGUUGAACUAUCAUUUGAGUUCGUGAACUUUGAUCCUGUGGGAAGCAGUCACCCUGAAGAUUAAAUAAAUUUUCUAUUUGUAGACUUGUUUUAUGGUCUUAUAUAAAAGGAAUAGGAUUCUUAAUGCUGUUAUUGUAGAACUAGGUUCUGAAGUUUUGGUGCAGUGUUUAUUUGCCUUUCUCUCACCUUAUCUGUCUUGUUUCUCUUAUCUGUCAUGUCACAUAUUAUAUAUGGAUAGGAAAAUCAUCUAUUCCUUCUUAGGAUUGGGUUUCUGGUUUGUUCUUGGGAUUCAAGGGGAUUCUGCAAGUUAGGAUAUCUAACUAUCCACGUUCUUCAGAAGCAUUAAACAUGUCUUAAGAGUGAUAAAGAGGCAUAGUAGAAUUCCCUCUGGAAUGCAGCACAGCAGAAUCUAGUGAGAACUUCUGAUCAUGUUGUUGCUGAACCUGAUGCUCUUAUUCAGGGUGUCAAAUCAAGUGUGAUUGAAAUCCUUAGUCAGCCUUGUGCUUCUUACUGAGAUGAAGACAUUUCUCUCCCCCUGAUUAUGAAUCUGCAGUUGAGUGUCAUGCCUCCCAGCAGUUCUUACUCUGUGCUGUACAAAUACAAACUGCUAGUUUUGCUGUGGACAAGUAAGAGUUCUGCUCAGGGUUGUGCUCAUGCUAUUCUGUCUCCUGACUUGUGUUCAGGACAUCCUGUAGCAAUUAGCUGAACAGACAAGAAUACAGACAAGAUGCUGUCUGACUUGCCUCUCAUAUGGGAAUAGGCAGUGAAUGUGGCUAUACUUGGCAGUAAAGAAGCUGAUGAACUUUG